AUUGAACGCUGGCGGCAUGCUUUACACAUGCAAGUCGAACGGUAACAGGCCGCAAGGUGCUGACGAGUGGCGAACGGGUGAGUAAUGCAUCGGAACGUGCCCAGUCGUGGGGGAUAACGCAGCGAAAGCUGUGCUAAUACCGCAUACGAUCUAUGGAUGAAAGCGGGGGACCGUAAGGCCUCGCGCGAUUGGAGCGGCCGAUGUCAGAUUAGGUAGUUGGUGGGGUAAAGGCCUACCAAGCCGACGAUCUGUAGCUGGUCUGAGAGGACGACCAGCCACACUGGGACUGAGACACGGCCCAGACUCCUACGGGAGGCAGCAGUGGGGAAUUUUGGACAAUGGGCGCAAGCCUGAUCCAGCAAUGCCGCGUGCAGGAAGAAGGCCUUCGGGUUGUAAACUGCUUUUGUACGGAACGAAACGGUCUGGGUUAAUACCCUGGGCUAAUGACGGUACCGUAAGAAUAAGCACCGGCUAACUACGUGCCAGCCGCCGCCGUAAUAC
rnacentral:rRNA from 1 species